rnacentral:rRNA from 1 species
UACGAAGGGGGCGAGCGUUGUUCGGAAUUACUGGGCGUAAAGCGUGCGUAGGCCGUUUUGCAAGUUGGGAGUGAAAGCCCUAGGCUCAACCUAGGAAUUGCUUUCAAAACUGCAAGACUUGGAUUCGGGAGAGGAUAGCGGAAUAUCCAGUGUAGAGGUGAAAUUCGUAGAUAUUGGAUGGAACACCAGUGGCGCAAGCGGCUAUCUGGACCGACAUCGACGCUGAGGCACGAAAGCGUGGGGAUCAAAC